GGGCCGCUAGCUCAACUGGUAGAGCGCCUCCCUCUUAAGGAGAUUGUUCCGAGUUCGAGUCUCGGGCGGCUCA
rnacentral:tRNA from 6 species